rnacentral:rRNA from 1 species
UGGUAGACCACCACGUUGAUAGGCUGGAUGUGGAAGUGCGGUAACGCAUGUAGCUGACCAGUACUAAUAGCUCAAUUGGCUUAAUUUAUG